CGUAGGUGGCAAGCGUUGUCCGGAUUUAUUGGGUUUUAAAAGGGUGCGUAGGCGGCUUUGUAAGUCAGUGGUGAAAUAUGGCAGCUCAACUGUCAGGGUGCCAUUGAUACUGCGGAGCUUGAGUACAGAUGAGGUAGGCGGAAUUGACGGUGUAGCGGUGAAAUGCUUAGAUAUCGUCAAGAACACCGAUAGCGAAGGCAGCUUACUGGGCUGUAACUGACGCUGAGGCACGAAAGUGUGGGAUCAAACAGGAUU
rnacentral:rRNA from 1 species